CCUACGGGUGGCAGCAGUGAGGAAUAUUGGUCAAUGGUCGGGAGACUGAACCAGCCAAGCCGCGUGAGGGAUGACGGUCCAGAGUAUCGUAAACCUCUUUUGUCAGGGAACAAAGGCGGGGACGUGUCCCCGGAUGAGUGUACCUGAUGAAAAAGCAUCGGCUAACUCCGUGCCAGCAGCCGCGGUAAUACGGAGGAUGCGAGCGUUAUCCGGAUUUAUUGGGUUUAAAGGGUGCGCAGGCGGUCUGUUAAGUCAGCGGUCAAAGCCCGGGGCUCAACCCCAGACCGCCGUUGAAACUGGCAGUCUCGAGUUGGAGAGAAGUACGCGGAAUGCGCGGUGUAGCGGUGAAAUGCAUAGAUAUCGCGCAGAACUCCGAUUGCGAAGGCAGCGUACCGGCGCCAGACUGACGCUGAGGCACGAAAGCGUGGGGAUCGAACAGGAUUAGAUACCACAGUAGUC
rnacentral:rRNA from 1 species